rnacentral:rRNA from 1 species
UACGAAGGGGGCUAGCGUUGCUCGGAAUCACUGGGCGUAAAGCGCACGUAGGCGGCUUUCUAAGUCAGGGGUGAAAUCCUGGAGCUCAACUCCAGAACUGCCUUUGAUACUGGAGAGCUUGAGUCCGGGAGAGGUGAGUGGAACUCCGAGUGUAGAGGUGAAAUUCGUAGAUAUCGGAAGAACACCAGUGGCGAAGGCGGCUCACUGGACUGGUAUUGACGCUGAGGUGCGAAAGCGUGGGGAGCAAACAGGG